GCGAUGUCAGAGUCGUUUCCCCUGUCACCAGGAGGGGUGACCCCCAUCCAGCAGGGAGCUGGGUGCUGCUGAGCACCUCCCCAGCCCCUGGGGGACGAGAAGCAGCAAGAGCAGUUAAUUCUCCACCUGGCAUGAGAACACUUCUCUCCUUUCCAGCACCGAGGAGAAAUCCAGAGUAAUCCUAUUUUUGGUCUGGCUGAUAAUUGCACUCUUGCUGGCUGCAUAUUGAUGAACAGCGUUUUCAACAUCCCUAAUGAAUUUUUAUCAACAAGCACAAGGGGUUGUGUCUGCUGGCAGAGGUUUUUUAGCACUCCUCAGAGGCAUUUGAUGAGUGGAUGA
rnacentral:lncRNA from 1 species